rnacentral:rRNA from 1 species
AACCUCGGGAAACUGAAAUUCUUUUAAAUAGUUAAAAAAGGGGGGAAGGGGGUGUGGAUAAAAGGUUAAGGAUUAGGAUGGGUUUGUGGAGUAUGUCCUCGUAGGGGGUGUAAUGGACUUCCUAGCUCAUUGACUCGUAUGGGUUGUGGGAUCAAUAGCCCGAAGAUGGAUUCUGAAACACGAAUCCAAACCCUACGGGGUGAAGCAGGUGCAAAAACUUCACACUGAAGGAAACUGUGAUGAGGGAACUCCAAGUGCAUGAACUAUGGGUAUGCUUUUCUUAAUUAUUAAUCGUUUUUGAAAUAAGGGCUGGAAAAGACCGGUGCCAGCCGCCGCGUUAAUACCGGCUGCUCAGGUGGUCGUCGUUUUUAUUGGGCCUAAAACGUCCGUAGCUUGUUUAGUAAAUUCGUGGGUAAAUCAACCUGAUUAACUGGUUGAAUUCUGCAAAGACUGUUAAACUAGGGACCGGAAAAGGUGUGAGGUAUUCUAGGGGUAGAGGUAAAUUUCUGUCAUCCUUGGAGGACCACCAGUUGCGAAGGCGUCACACUAUAACGGAUCCGACGGUCAGGAACGAACCCUAGGGGCACCAACCGAAUUAAAUACCCGGGUAGUCCUAGGUGUAAACGCUGUGAACUUGUUGUCAGAAUUCCGUCAGGGGACCUCGCUGCCUAAGUGAAAAUGUUAAGUUCACUGUCUGGGAAGUACGGUCGGAAGGCUAAAACUCAAAGGAAUUGACGG